GGUUGUGUGGUCUAGUGGUAUGAUUCUCGCUUAGGGUGCGAGAGGUCCCGAGUUUCAUUCUCGGCACAGCCC
rnacentral:tRNA from 1 species